rnacentral:lncRNA from 1 species
CAUUUGAGAGGGCUAUUGAUAUCUGGAGUUCUAGUGGCCUGAAUAAUCCAUAAUACUGUGCCUCUAUUUACCACAAUCAAACUAGGCUUUGAAAAACUAGUAACGAUCCUGUUUCAAGUGGAAACGUCUAUAUCUGUCACAUCAAGGUUCUUUCUUUGGCCGAUUCCCAAUAUCCCUUUGAUGACCUCCUUGUUGCAUUGACUCAUUACUAGAGAAACUACCAAAUCUUGACCUAUUUUUCUAUUGUUGUUUCCUCUCCUGCUAUAUGUUGCCA